CAAUAGCGUAUAUUAAAGUUGUUGCGGUUAAAAAGCUCGUAGUUGGAUUUCUGCUGAGAACGACCGGUCCGCCCUCUGGGUGUGUAUCUGGCUCUUUCUUGGCAUCUUCUUGGUGAACGUUGCUGCACUUGACUGUGUGGAGCGCUACCCAGGACUUUUACUUUGAGGAAAUUAGAGUGUUUCAAGCAGGCAUACGCCUUGAAUACAUUAGCAUGGAAUAAUAAGAUAGGACCUCGGUUCUAUUUUGUUGGUUUCUAGAGCUGAGGUAAUGAUUAAUAGGGAUAGUUGGGGGCAUUCGUAUUUAACUGUCAGAGGUGAAAUUCUUGGAUUUGUUAAAGACGGACUACUGCGAAGGCAUUUGCCAAGGAUGUUUNCAUUG
rnacentral:rRNA from 1 species